AGUGAGCGCUGGCGGUAGGCCUAACACAUGCAAGUCGAACGGCAGCACAGUAAGAGCUUGCUCUUACGGGUGGCGAGUGGCGGACGGGUGAGGAAUACAUCGGAAUCUACUUUUUCGUGGGGGAGAACGUAGGGAAACUUACGCUAAUACCGCAUACGACCUACGGGUGAAAGCAGGGGAUCUUCGGACCUUGCGCGAUUGAAUGAGCCGAUGUCGGAUUAGCUAGUUGGCGGGGUAAAGGCCCACCAAGGCGACGAUCCGUAGCUGGUCUGAGAGGAUGAUCAGCCACACUGGAACUGAGACACGGUCCAGACUCCUACGGGAGGCAGCAGUGGGGAAUAUUGGACAAUGGGCGCAAGCCUGAUCCAGCCAUACCGCGUGGGUGAAGAAGGCCUUCGGGUUGUAAGGCCCUUUUGUUGGGAAAGAAAAGCAGCAGGUUAAUACCCCGCUGUUCUGACGUUACCCAAAGAAUAAGCACCGGCUAACUUCGUG
rnacentral:rRNA from 1 species